rnacentral:rRNA from 1 species
GUUGGGAGGGAUGUAUUUAUUAGAUUCAAAAGCCAAUGCCAUUCUUUUCGGAGGAUGGAAAUUUAACAUAUGGUGAAUCAUGAUAACUUUACGAAUCGCAUGGUCUUUUGUGCCGGCGAUAGUUCAUUCAAAUAUCUGCCCUAUCAACUUUCGAUGGUAGUAUAGAGGACUACCAUGGUGGUAACGGGUAACGGAGAAUCAGGGUUUGAUUCCGGAGAAGGAGCCUGAGAAACGGCUACUACUUCCAAGGAAGGCAGCAGGCGCGCAAAUUACCCAAUCCCGACACGGGGAGGUAGUGGCAAAAAAUAACAAUACCGGUCUUAUUUAAGUCUGGUAAUUGGAAUGAGUACAAUCUAAAUCCUUUAACGAGUAUCAAUUGGAGGGCAAGUCUGGUGCCAGCAGCCGCGGUAAUUCCAGCUCCAAUAGCAUAUAUUAAAGUUGUUGCAGUUAAAAAGCUCGUAGUUGGAUUUUGAAGUUUACAUAUUAUGACCCACUUUGUAUUAAGUGUGUUUUGUUGUGAUAUGUACUUCUCCUUACUAGACUUUCACUAUUACACUUUCUUGAGUGAUAGUUUCAUUUUAAUUUAUU